rnacentral:rRNA from 1 species
AUUGAACGCUGGCGGCAUGCUUUACACAUGCAAGUCGAACGGUAACAGGCCUUCGGGCGCUGACGAGUGGCGAACGGGUGAGUAAUAUAUCGGAACGUGCCCAGUCGUGGGGGAUAACGUAGCGAAAGUUACGCUAAUACCGCAUACGAUCUACGGAUGAAAGCGGGGGAUCGCAAGACCUCGCGCGAUUGGAGCGGCCGAUAUCAGAUUAGGUAGUUGGUGGGGUAAAGGCUCACCAAGCCAACGAUCUGUAGCUGGUCUGAGAGGACGACCAGCCACACUGGAACUGAGACACGGUCCAGACUCCUACGGGAGGCAGCAGUGGGGAAUUUUGGACAAUGGGGGGCGAACCCUGAUCCAGCAAUGCCGCGUGAGUGAAGAAGGCCUCGGUUGGUUAAAGCUCUUUUGUCUAGGGAAGAAACAGCAGCUCUAACACAGACUGCGAAUGACGGUACCU